CGUCAUUUUUCACAGUCGCAUGAUGGGCCGUACUCUAAGGGGAACAAGGACUCAACGGGGCCAGACAACUCACUCACAUCCAGAAGACAAAGCAUCCCAGAACUGCGUGGGGUUACACUGGUUGAGCUGAUUAAGAAGGAAGGAAGCACUUUAGGUCUCACCAUCUCGGGCGGAACAGACAAGGAUGGCAAACCACGCGUCUCCAACCUGCGGCCGGGUGGACUGGCGGCUAGGAGCGAUCAGCUCAAUGUGGGCGACUACAUCAAGUCAGUCAAUGGGAUCAACCUGACCAAGCUGCGUCACGACGAGAUCAUCAGUCUGCUAAAAAACGUAGGCGAGCGCGUCGUGCUGGAAGUGGAGUAUGAACUGCCUUCACCUGGUAGGAAGUUGAACAGUACCUCAGGUGUUAUUUCCAAGACAAUCGAGAUCUGUUUGCAGAAAGAGGGCAACAGUUUCGGCUUUGUUAUGCGAGGUGGAUCCCAUGAGGACUGGCACAGAUCUCGUCCUUUGGUGGUCACACACGUCCGACCUGGUGGUCCUGCUGACAGGGAAGGGACCCUAAAAGCAGGCGAUCGGAUCUUAAGUGUGGAUGGUGUGGUUUUACACAGUGCUAUUCUGAGCGAUGCUCUUACAGUACUGACUCAGUGUGGCCAGGAGGCCCUGUUCCAGAUAGAGUAUGAUGUCUCCAUCAUGGACUCGAUGACAAACGCUUCAGGUCCUCUGCUGGUGGAGAUUGCCAAGGCGCCCGGAGCCAGUCUGGGAAUCACUCUGACCACUGCCAUGCACAGGAACAAACAGGCCAUCGUCAUCGACAAGAUCAAGCCCGCCAGUGUGGUGGACAGGUCUGGAGCGUUACACGUGGGUGAUCAUAUCCUGUCUAUAGACGGCACCAGCACAGAGCACUGCUCCGUCCUGGAGGCCACGCAGCUGCUGGCCAGCACUACUGAUCAGACCAAACUAGAGAUCCUCCCCGCACACCAAACACGCCUGCCUGGGAAACCCCAGGACACUGUGAAAGUUCAGAAAAGUGACCACCCGCACUGCUGGGACCCCUGUGUGAACUACUGCCAUUCUCAACAUCCUGGUCACUGUAAGACGUCGACAUGGACCUCUGCUUCCAGUAACCCAUCCAGUUCUCAGGAUUACUGCAAAUCGGUAGUCUGCACUAACUUCUCUCCUGGGUCCACAACCACAUCAGGCAUGACCAGCCAGGGUUCCAGCACGCUGCCCCGGGCUGCUCCUCCCAUGAGCCCACGGAACUCCAUGCUAAAGAGACGACAAAGGAAAAAAGAGCACAAAAGCUCCUCUGUGUCUUUAGCCUCAAGUUCUGUGGGCCCUGGUGGUCAGAUCGUCCACACCGAGUCCAGUGAGGUCACUCUGAGAGGAGACCCUCUAAAUGGGUUUGGGGUUCAGCUGCAAGGUGGAAUAUUUGCGACAGAGACCCUCUCUGCACCCCCUCUUAUCCGCUUCAUAGAACCGGACAGCUCGGCCGAAAGAACGAGAGUUGGAGAUCGCAGAUCGCACAUAAACUUUGUGUCAGCACUUCCCCCCAGUAAGAAACCAGGAGAGCCUCUUAUCAUAUCUGACAUUAAAAAAGGCAGCAUGGCACACAGAACAGGAACUCUGGAGCCCGGAGACAAGCUGCUGGCCAUAGAUAACAUCCGUCUGGAGAACUGCUGCAUGGAGGACGCCGUCCAGAUCCUCCAGCAGAGCGAAGACCUGGUCAAACUCAAAAUCCGCAAGGAUGAGGACAACUCAGACGAGCAGGAGUCGUCCGGCUCCAUCAUCUACACGGUGGAGCUGAAGCGCUACGGCGGCCCGCUGGGCAUCACCAUCUCCGGCACCGAGGAGCCCUUUGACCCCAUCAUCAUCUCAGGCCUGACCAAGAGGGGUCUCGCUGAGAGGACUGGAGCCAUUCACGUUGGCGAUCGUAUUCUGGCCAUCAACAGCGUCAGUCUGAAGGGGAAGCCGCUCAGUGAAGCCAUACACCUGCUGCAGAUGGCAGGAGAAACCGUCACCCUCAAGAUCAAGAAGCAGACCGACAAGAACGAUCUGGAUAACGAGCUCAGCGAUAACGAGGACGACAUGACCGACUCGCAGAAGACCAACAAACUGUCGGACAUUUAUUCCACCACCAUCCCCAGCGUGGAUUCGGCCAUGGAGUCGUGGGACGGCUCGGGAAUCGACGGCGGUUACAGCAGCCAAGGUGGCUACACGCAUCAGGCCGCUGGGAUUGCGCUACACCCUCACGAGUGGCGUAACAGCAAGCAGAGGAACAGCACACCUCCUCCGUCCCGCCACAAGAACUAUCCCUUCAGUGACGCGGGAUUCAGUGAGGACGACUGGGACAAAGCUGCCGGAUACAGCAGCCAGCCGCAUGCCGACGGCCUCAUGAUGGAGCAGGAGGACAGUUUCUGGUGCCAGGCCCUGGAAGACCUGGAGACCUGCGGCCAGUCCGAGCUCCUGCGCGAGAUCGAGGCGUCAAUAAUGACCGGCAGCGCCCUGAGUUUGGGUGUAGAGGGUGGAAAGGCCCACGGCGAGACGGUCAGCCAACCUCACCUCAGCCCUCUGAGAAAAGCCCCACAUCUCCUCAACGAAACCAAGAACAAGAGCACGCUCCGUAUGUCCGAGAAGACCUGGGAGUCACGGAGGAUCAAAGAAGAGAUCCAGGACAUCCUGUCGCCCACACCGUUAGAGCUGCACAAGGUGACUGUGAUGAAGGACCCAGAGAGCGAUGACUUUGGAUUCAGCGUAUCGGACGGGUUCUUGGAAAAGGGUGUUUGCGUGAACAUGAUCAGGCCUGAAGGUCCGGCGGACCGUGCUGGACUCAAACCGUACGACAGGAUCCUUCAGGUGCCUCUUCUCAGAUCACCACUAGCUGGUUUCCCUGCGUCCCCUCCCUUUCCCCAGCUAUAUGAUCUGCCCAGUAUGAGAGCAUUCAAUAGGCCUUUGACUCUGGGAGGACAUGUCGAGUUAAAAAGUGAUUCGGCUGGAUCUUCUGCGUGGCUACACAGCACUUGUGGUCAAAUCUUAGAGAGCGUCCCCCUCUCGCUAAUCUGCCACACUUCACUGGCUGUGGAAAUGAUUAAAUCUGUCUAA
ensembl:lncRNA glutamate receptor-interacting protein 2-like